UAAACGGCCCUUUUCAGGGCCACCAAAGUCGGCCCUUUUCAGGACC
rfam:Lasius niger Lnig_2.1_17885, whole genome shotgun sequence.